CAGUGAUAAACUGGAGGAAGGUGGGGAUGACGUCAAGUCAUCAUGGCCCUUACGACCAGGGCUACACACGUGCUACAAUGGCGCAUACAAAGAGAAGCGACCUCGCGAGAGCAAGCGGACCUCAUAAAGUGCGUCGUAGUCCGGAUUGGAGUCUGCAACUCGACUCCAUGAAGUCGGAAUCGCUAGUAAUCGUGGAUCAGAAUGCCACGGUGAAUACGUUCCCGGGCCUUGUACACACCGCCCGUCACACCAUGGGAGUGGGUUGCAAAAGAAGUAGGUAGCUUAACCUUCGGGAGGGCGCUUACCACUUUGUGAUUCAUGACUGGGGUGAAGUCGUAACAAGGUAACCGUAGGGG
rnacentral:rRNA from 3 species